GCCAGAAUAGCUCAGUGGUAGAGCAGCUCACUCGUAAUGAGCAGGUCCUCGGUUCAAGUCCGAGUUCUGGCU
rnacentral:tRNA from 2 species